ACGUGGGUGACCUGCCCCCUACUCUGGGAUAAGCCUGGGAAACGUGGGUCGUAAUACCGGAUAUGACAUGUUCCUGCAUGGGGAUGUGUGGAAAGUUUUUCGGUUGGGGGAUGGGCCCGCGGCCUAUCAGCUUGUUGGUGGGGUGAUGGCCUACCAAGGCUUCGACGGGUAGGCCGGCCUGAGAGGGCGUCCGGCCACACUGGGACUGAGACACGGCCCAGACUCCUACGGGAGGCAGCAGUGGGGAAUAUUGCGCAAUGGGCGAAAGCCUGACGCAGCAAUACCGCGUGUGUGAAGAAG
rnacentral:rRNA from 1 species